UUAAAUUGAAGAGUUUGAUCAUGGCUCAGAUUGAACGCUGGCGGCAGGCCUAACACAUGCAAGUCGAACGGUAACAGGAAGCAGCUUGCUGCUUUGCUGACGAGUGGCGGACGGGUGAGUAAUGUCUGGGAAACUGCCUGAUGGAGGGGGAUAACUACUGGAAACGGUGGCUAAUACCGCAUAACGUCGCAAGACCAAAGAGGGGGACCUUCGGGCCUCUUGCCAUCAGAUGUGCCCAGAUGGGAUUAGCUUGUUGGUGAGGUAACGGCUCACCAAGGCGACGAUCCCUAGCUGGUCUGAGAGGAUGACCAGCCACACUGGAACUGAGACACGGUCCAGACUCCUACGGGAGGCAGCAGUGGGGAAUAUUGCACAAUGGGCGCAAGCCUGAUGC
rnacentral:rRNA from 1 species